CCUACGGGAGGCAGCAGUGGGGAAUAUUGGGCAAUGGGCGCAAGCCUGACGCAGCAACGCCGCGUGAAGGAAGAAGGCUUUCGGGUUGUAAACUUCUGUUGGCAGGGAAGAGGAGAAGACGGUACGGGACGAAUAAGCCACGGCUAACUACGGGCCAGCAGCCGCGGUAAUACGGAGGUGGCAAGCGUUCUCCGGAUUUACUGGGUGUAAAGGGCGGGUAGCCGUGUGGACAAGUCAGAUGUGAAAUCCUGCGGCGUAACCGCAGAACUGCAUGUGAAACUGUUGAUCUUGAGUACUGGAGAGGCAGGUGGACUUCCUGGUGUAGCGGUGACAUGCGUAGAUAUUAGGAGGAACCCCAGUGGCGAAGGCGGUCUGCUGGACAGCACCUGACGUUGAGGCCCGACAGCGUGGGGCGCAAACAGGAUUAGAUACCCCGGUAGUC
rnacentral:rRNA from 1 species